rnacentral:misc_RNA from 1 species
AGUGGUGUUCGGCUUGUGUGGGCGUGUUGGAUCCCUGCUCCGGGCAGCGACAGCACCUCCGCCAGGCCUCUUCAUUCGUCGGCACGAGCUCGGGCUCGUCCGCGUUCGGUUAUCCUGUGCUGCAUACCUAUCGCGAGGGCAUUCGUUCGGCUGAAUCGGUCCCAUCUCCGUCCUGCGUCGGCAGCCCCUGCGGGCGGCCGGCGCGGGGCGGAUCUCAAGGCGCGCGCCGCGUCCGUCGCCGCAUCGACCCGCGCAUCGCUGCGUGGGCGUUUCGGCCGUCGGGUCGCGACGCGUCGCCCGUUGCCUCGGGUACGGAACAUCGGGUGGGUACGGGGCCUCUUCGGCCCCCGAUCGCCACGACAACGCGUUCUACGCUCAUUGCGAACGACCGCCCGCUCGGCCGCCGUCGGUGCACCCGUGCAUCGCUCGGCGCCGUUCGGG